CCUGAGACUAGAGCCACAUCUUGACAGCUAUUGUCCUGGUGUGCUAGAGUUCUCGGAGAGAAUCUGCUGGUCUUGAUUCACUGACGAGGGCCACAAAUGCCCCAGUUGUGCCCAGAUCAGAAAUAUAG